GACGAACGCGGCGGCGUGCCUAAUACAUGCAAGUCGAGCGGAUCUUGUCCUUCGGGAUAAGGUUAGCGGCGGACGGGUGAGUAACACGUAGGCAACCUGCCCUCGAGACUGGGAUAACCUCCGGAAACGGAUGCUAAUACCAGAUACGCGAUCUUCCCUCCUGGGGAGAUCGGGAAAGACGGAGCAAUCUGUUACUCGGGGAUGGGCCUGCGGCGCAUUAGCUAGUUGGUGAGGUAACGGCUCACCAAGGCGACGAUGCGUAGCCGACCUGAGAGGGUGAUCGGCCACACUGGGACUGAGACACGGCCCAGACUCCUACGGGAGGCAGCAGUAGGGAAUCUUCCGCAAUGGACGAAAGUCUGACGGAGCAACGCCGCGUGAGUGAGGAAGGCCUUCGGGUCGUAAAGCUCUGUUGCCAGGGAAGAACGCUUGGGAGAGUAACUGCUCCCAAGGUGACGGACCUGAGAAGAAAGCCCCGCA
rnacentral:rRNA from 1 species